UUGCUCCGCAGCAUGUAUAAUAAAAUUGGAACUAUAUAAAGAAGAUUAGCAUGGCCCCUACACAAGGAUGACAUGCAAAUUCCUGAAGCAUUCCAUAGUUAA
ensembl:snRNA U6 U6 spliceosomal RNA